GUAACACGUAUCCAACCUGCCGAUAACUCCGGAAUAGCCUUUCGAAAGAAAGAUUAAUACCGGAUGGCAUACGAAUAUCGCAUGAUAUUUUUAUUUAAAGAAUUUCGGUUAUCGAUGGGGAUGCGUUCCAUUAGGCAGUUGGUGGGGUAAUGGCCCACCAAACCUUCGAUGGAUAGGGGUUCUGAGAGGAAGGUCCCCCACAUUGGAACUGAGACACGGUCCAAACUCCUACGGGAGGCAGCAUG
rnacentral:rRNA from 1 species